rnacentral:rRNA from 1 species
UACGAAGGGGGCUAGCGUUGUUCGGAAUGACUGGGCGUAAAGCGCACGUAGGCGUACAUUUAAGUCAGGGGUGAAAUCCCGGGGCUCAACCUCGGAACUGCCUUUGAUACUGGGUGUCUGGAGUGUGGAAGAGGUGAGUGGAAUUCCGAGUGUAGAGGUGAAAUUCGUAGAUAUUCGGAGGAACACCAGUGGCGAAGGCGGCUCACUGGUCCACAACUGACGCUGAGGUGCGAAAGCGUGGGGAGCAAACAGG